AUUUCAGCACCUUGUCCUCUGCAAAGUUAUAACAAAAGCCUGCCUCAAAGCUCAUAAAGGUUGCAGCGAGGCCAACGUUGAAGAUCAAAUUGCCGAAUUUUUAAAAUAUGCUCCAGGCAAGCAAGAUGGUUCCAGAUUUAAGGUAACAUGUCAUUGUCAUCAUAGAUUGCUGGGUCUGAAAGGCAACUUAUUGUAAUCGGCUUAAUUAGCAUUUUUAGCAUUAAACUUUAGUUCGUAUCAUUGGAAAGGCUGUUUUAUGAUUUCACAAAUAUUGCAUCAUUAAUUGUAUGUUAAAUUAGCGUCGGAGAAACGCUGUAUGAACGUUGUACAAACGUCGGGUUUAGGUUGAAAAUACGUUGCAUCCCAACGUUUAUUGACAUUGAUGACAGUCAUUAUUACGCACUACUCACUGGCACUUUAUAACCACAAUGAGCCUAGCAUUUGCCUAAAAACAGAUGUCUCGUUGAAAAGGUGGUGCUGCUCCAUUAAUGGUUUAUGUGCUUGAGGUAACUGGAUGCCCUUGGAGGCUUCCAGCCGUUUAAAUUAUUUGAAAAUUCUUGAGGUAUUGUUUGCCCUUUAGUCAUUUUCUUUAGAACUAAAAGGUCAUCAUGUUAAACUAAUAAUUGAUGAUACUACCGCUGUAGCUUGCAUUAACCAAUAGGGCACAUGCCACUCAAUAUCAGUUCACAA